CUGGGUGGUGGCUGGUGACUUCUGCUCUUUAAUUAUCUCCAGCGUCGGAGAAGAAGUUAGAGAGCAUCUUUGGACACUCUCCACCACCAGACGGCCACUGCUAAUCCAUCGCGGACCUCCAAAGGACAAGGACUGGAAAAAAGAGUAUUCACCGCUGCCCCAAAUCUGGAAAAUUCACUGGCUCCUCACCGGCUCCCUCACCACCUUGGGCAGGGUGCCUCUCUCCGUUAAUAUAUAAUUCUAACCAAGAGAGGAAAUCCACUGAAGGUCAGACUACAGAAGGCCAGCGUCCCGGGAGUGAGGCUAACCUUGACCGGCACUGGGCUCUGGCACCCGUCACCCUGGAGCUAGAAGCCUCUCCCUUAGUCCCACAGCCUCUGUGACACCCAAAGCAGGCGACCCCCAGAAAGAGUUUCAACCCUGAAGAUUCCCUUGGUAGUUCACCCAGGGUCCCAGGAGAGCAGGCGGUUUUCUCCUUGCCCAGGAAGUAACCAGAGAUGCUCUCUGCGUGGUCGGUUCUCCCACCGCCACCGAGGCGGCUCCAAGCAGUUCCUGGAACACCAUGUUAGGUGGGGGUCAGAGGCAGCUGACGGCCCUUCCGCAGGCUUCUUCUUGAGGAAUAGGGGGGGAUAGGAGUUGAAAGAAUGGGUGGUGCAAAAGUACUGGGUUUAAAGUCAUUUUCGUGCGCAAAACAAUAUUUAGGAAGGAAAAGGAGGAGGGAGGUUAGCCGGACAGAGGAAUGAAAACUAUAUAGGCACAAAAUACAGGCACAAAGUUUGAAAGGGGGCAUUAGAAGCCCCACCUGAAUGAGAAGACACUAUUUCCCCCCUAUUGUGCAGGGGAGGGGGUUGGGAAACGGUGUCACUGGAACUGGGAAUUAAUUUGUUUUAAUUUUUUUCAAUAAUGCACCAUCAGACCACC